GAGUUUCCGCAGAUGAGCCGCGGGAAAGGAGACGAGGGGCGGUGGCCAGGCGGUUGCCCUGACAACGGGGAACCGACCGACUCUUCCCGGUAGGGAGAGGCGAUGGCGGAAUUACUCCUCUAAUGUCAAGGUAUUCUAAUCACAGAAUUACUGGAGCAUCAAGAAGUGCCUGCAUGCUUGGAAGGGCUUCCAGGCAGAUGAACACACCUCAGCACCGGGUGGCAUUUUCCCAGGGUGCAACCCGGACCGGCUCUGGGUCACACUGACAAGGACAACAGGGUUAACAAUUUCCAGAGACAGCCCGUACAUAGAAGGAAUGUUUACUGAAAAAAAUGAAGAGGGGUCAGGGCAAGGCGAGGAGCAAGAAGCACCCCCAAGGAAACAGAGAAGACCAGUACAACUGUACCUCUUUGCCAGCUGCACCAUCCGUACCAGUCUCCUGGGGUGGAAGUGUCCAGCACAGAGACUGCCACACUGCAAGACGAAGGGGCUGGACACACGGAAGAGAGAGGCGGAACCCUGCACCCCCUCAACCUCAGCCCUACUGAGUCUCCAAUGGGGCCACGCUUCUGAGUGCACCUCCCCGUGUCAUCUGUAAUGUGAGGGGGAACCAGGCUUGAUAUGGCAUUCCCAAUCCAGGGC
rnacentral:lncRNA from 1 species